AAGAAUAGUGCUGCCCAAAAUUAGAGUCAUUACAACCUGAAUUUGGGUACAUCGUAGUUGAAAUACCAUGCCUAAAUUUUUAACGUACCACUAGAAAAAGAAAAGAAAAAAAACUAAUUUUUAAAACCCAUUGAAACUACAACACUUGCUAAACGAAUAGAUCAAUGAGACGAGACAACAAGUAUGGAAUAAAAAACUAAUCAAAAUUGAGUAAAGCAUAAAUCCAUAAAAAGUGGAACAUAUCUAAAGAAAUAACGUAUAAUUCAUAUGAGAUAAAACCAAAAUCACAGCCCAAAAGGUCCAAACCAUGAAAAUCACAUAGAAGGAUUAAUAAGAUGGAACAAGCAAAUCGAGAGCAAGUUCACAAGACAGCACAACAACAAAACCCCAAAAUACAGAUGCAAAUGCCAUGGAUGCAAAACCUCAAACCCAAAAUUCGAAAUAGGCUCCAGAGGAGACAUACCUAGAUCACACGGAGAGAAAAACCUCUUGGGCAUUUGAUUCAGUGAAGAAAAAGAACCGUCUUUCGCAUGAGAUAGAGAGUGAGGGGAUUGGGGAGGGCGAGGUGUAGAGAGAGAGAGAGUUGGGGGAGCGGGAGGUGUAGU
rnacentral:lncRNA from 1 species